CAACGAGUUGAUGUAGGCCUUUCCACGAAUCAUAAAGCGUGCGAUCGUAUAUGGCUCGAUUCAAUGCACGACAUAUAAACAAUACAAUGCAUGGCCUCGAUGAACUUGUCCGAUCAUGGGACAAAAGACAACUUGCUGCACGCUUCGAAUGAAUCUAUUUGAUUUGCCUGGUCUGAUCGAUCUAGAAGAAAAGAAAGGAAGACAUGACACAUUCGAUCAAAACUGGGACUUGCAUGAAACAGGUUGACACCACCUUUUGUUUCCUCCUCUCUCCACAAGCUCCUCUUUGCUCCAUUUUAGCGUGUAGGGCCGACUUGACAAGAGUGGAGCACUGGAUUGAAGGGAUAAGGAAGGCUUUUACCAUUUGUUUGAAUCCAUGGGACUGUCAAAGCCUUUCUUUCCCCUUUUCAUCUUGAUGAUAAGAACAGGAGGACAUGCUAUGUAGGACUCGAGUGACCUCAAACCGUGUGCUUAACGUACGACACAUCAAAUCCAUUCCCAUAAUCGAUUCAUCAGACUCACCUGUUCCCUACCAAAUAUAUGAUCACCGUAUACCGGAUUAAGUCUACACUUUCUGCAGACUUCAGACUGCAGCUUUGCCUCAAUGGUGACACUGCAUGCCUUGUCUUGAGGCUAUCGCUUUUAGCUCCAUUUCUCAGAUGGGUACUCUUCCCGCAGUCGCUGCUGCAGUCACCAGCUCGAUAGCUUUUCUCUUGCAAGCAUUGGGACUGCAGCACCUACUCCAAGUGGCACCAACCUGUGUGGGGACGAUGGUGAUGACAGUGCUGUCAAUGAGGGGUUGUGUUAACCUACUCGACAUGUUUCCCUUCCAUGGCAAUAUCAUGGGGAUGGGAUCAUGUACGCUAUAAUGCAUGCACCUCCUGACGUCUAUAUCUGGAACACCGCGCGCAGGCCGCCAUUUACUCCACGUCGAACCAGCUUGCGUCGUC
rnacentral:lncRNA from 1 species